GCCACCGCACCGGCCAGACGGCACCGGUGGAGGCGGCCAAAACCCUAGACGCGCUUUGAGCUCCAUAGUCGGUGAACAGGACUCGAACCCAGCGUGUGACCCCGUCAAUGGAUUAUUCAUUUUGACAGCAAUCCAUUGGUGGGGUCACACGUUCGGUUCGAAACCUGUUAAGCGACUCAGGAGCUCAAAACGCUACUAGAGUUUGGCUUUCUGCGCCGGUCAGCUACUGGCUGCCCAUCAUAGUUUUAGUCAGGAUCAUCACUCUUCCAUUCGCAGUGUGCGCCUUGCAGCCUUAUCGAUAAACCGGAAACUUUGGAAUCUGUCUCUCUGAGGACGGUGUGAGGAUUCUGAGGCGCGGGUGGCCGUCUAGAGUCCGCGAGCUGGCGGCCUACUUCGCCCUCUCAGCAGAUCGAAGCUCAUCUUCCGCGGCGUGUUUGCCACCACACUGAUUCCGAGAGUCGUCGCUCUGUCUCUCUCGCAC